rnacentral:rRNA from 1 species
CACGUAGUUAGCCGGGGCUUCUUAGUCAGGUACCGUCAUUUUCCUCCCUGCUGAUAGGGCUUUACAUACCGAAAUACUUCUUCACCCACGCGGCGUCGCUGCAUCAGGGUUUCCCCCAUUGUGCAAUAUUCCCCACUGCUGCCUCCCGUAGGAGUUUGGGCCGUGUCUCAGUCCCAAUGUGGCCGUACACCCUCUCAGGCCGGCUACUGAUCGUCGCCUUGGUAGGCCGUUACCCUGCCAACUAGCUAAUCAGACGCGGACCCAUCUCAUACCACCGGAGUUUUUCACACAAAACCAUGCGGUUUCGUGCGCUUAUGCGGUAUUAACAGCCGUUUCCAACUGUUAUCCCCCUGUAUGAGGCAGGUUAUCCACGCGUUACUCACCCGUCCGCCACUCAGUCAAAUGCUGCUUCCCUUUGAGCAAGCUCUCCAGUCUGCUGCAAGUGCUUCGUCACUUGCAUGUGUUAAGCACGCCGCCAGCGUUCAUCCUGAGCCAGGA